CUGCUCCACUCUUAAGUUGAAGUUGAACUUGUUGACUGAUGCCAAGGUAAGAAGGGAGCAGCUGCGAACCAGAGGACUGCAGCCAAGGAAGCACUGGUCCACACCUGCCCAAUCUGUCGAUGCAGACCCAAAGAUUUGCAAGGAACACUUUGAACGCAAGCAUCCCAAGUUUCCAAUGAUCCCAGUACUGGUUGAUGUGCAGGCCUAAGUGAUGACUACGAUUUGAAUGCUGCAACUGUGACGGAAUAAUGUCGAGGGACACGGGCUGAGACCCGUAUGACUGGACAUGGGCCAGGUUUUUGUGACAAUGACCUAAAAGGGGUGCAGAGGCAAACCAGCUCCCCAUUUACGUUUAUUCCAUGGGAAACCUUUUCUCUAGCUACCCCUUAUUCCACACUAUGCCUUUAAUGCACCAUGGUCCCUCAAUUUUUGACACUUUGGAACUCUCCAUCUUAUCUCGAAAAAACAUGCCCUACCUUCAACCCUUUUCACUAUGCUGCUUCCUUCACUUGUUCUUCUGAUUUGAUAACAUCUAGACUCAGUGACAAAGUGUAAGUGUCUUGUAUAAAAUAUUAAUUGUUUAAAUACUUUUUUCCCCCACCUAUUUAAUGCUGUCCUCAUUCUGGGGUUCAAAUUGAAUGCAGUGGUACAUGUGCUGCUCACAAUUGACAGUAGCAACCUGGACCUUGACAAGAAGGGUGUUGAUAUAGCUACGUUUAGGCAUGGCUUCUUUGUUUUGAGUCUAAGUGUGUUUCUCAUUCUGAUUGAGUUGACCUAGUAUUUUAUAUUAAACCUACCUUAAGCA